GCCUGGGUGGCUCAGUUGAUUGAGCAUCUGACUACUGCUCAGGUCAUGAUCUCAUGGUUCGUGGGUUCAAGCCCCACAUUGGGCU
rnacentral:tRNA from 1 species